CAUGUGUCGAAUACAAUUUGGCUCGCGUUUCACUCACAACAAAGUCUGGAACGAGAUAAAGCGAAGGGCCUAAGUUACACCCACGAAAAUGACAAGUUUGACAGCUGAUGACAAUCAUUUAUAUUGGAUAUGCAAUGCUUGGCUUGGUUAACGGUGCCUGUGCAAGUGGGCGGUCGUCGUAAGCGUUGUGUGAUAAUUAAAUUAAAGAAGCAAGCAAACUCACCGCAAUUUUCUUCAGGCGAGAAGUUUGAUGAACUUCUAACAAGCAAUUGGCAGAGAAGAAAGGGACCGUUUUCAAACUGUGAAUUUGUUAAUUUAUGGAAAGUAUUGGUGGUUUUCUUAUGCGCCUUGCUGUCAAAAUUAUUAUUAUUGUUUGCCUGAUGAGAUGAAGACAAGGAAGAGCUUUGGCUGAAAAACGUGAAAGCAAUGUUACAAUUCGUUCGUUGAAGUUUAGUGAAGAAGCCAUUAUCGAUGAAGUUAAAAGCGAUAUGCAGACAGAUAUAAUCAACAACAACUCGAUUUUCACGUUUGCCAGAGUCAGGAAUACUUU